CCUACGGGAGGCAGCAGUAGGGAAUCUUUCACAAUGGGCGAAAGCCUGAUGGAGCAACGCCGCGUGCAGGAUGAAUGCCUUCUGGUUGUAAACUGCUUUUAUAAGCGAGAUAUAUGAUUGUAACUUAUGAAUAAGGAUCGUCUAACUACGUGCCAGCAGCCGCGGUCAUACGUAGGAUCCGAGCAUUAUCCGGAGUGACUGGGUGUAAAGAGUUCCGUUGGUGGCAUAAUAAGUAGCUAGUGAAAUCUGGUGGCUCAACCAUUAAGACUAUUAGCUAAACUGUUAAGCUCGAGAACGUUAGGGGUAACUGGAAUUUCUAGUGUAGGAGUGAAAUCCGUAGAUAUUAGAAGGAACACCAAUAGCGUAGGCAGGUUGCUGGGACGGUUCUGACACUAAGGCACGAAAGCGUAGGGAGCAAACGGGAUUAGAUACCCGGGUAGUC
rnacentral:rRNA from 1 species